CCUACGGGUGGCAGCAGUAGGGAAUAUUGCUCAAUGGGGGAAACUCUGAAGCAGCAACGCCGCGUGGAGGAUGAAGGCUCUCGGAUUUGAAACUCCUUUUGUUAGAGGAGAUAAUGACGGUAUCUAACGAAUAAGCACCGGCUAACUCCGGGCCAGCAGCCGCGGUAAUACGUAGGGUGCAAGCGUUACUCGGAAUGACUGGGCGUAAAGGGCGGGUAGGCGGGAUAGCAAGUCAGAUGUGAAAUUCUAUGGCUUAACCAUAGAACUGCAGUUGAAACUGUAUUUCUAGAGUAUGGGAGCGGUAGGCGGAAUUCGUGGUGUAGGGGUAAAAUCCGUAGAGAUCAAGAGGAACACUGAUUGCGAAGGCGACCUGCUAGAACGUAACUGACGCUGAUGCGCGAAAGCGUGGGGAGCAAACAGGAUUAGAUACCCUUGUAGUC
rnacentral:rRNA from 1 species